CCUACGGGAGGCUGCAGUGGGGAAUAUUGGACAAUGGGCGAAAGCCUGAUCCAGCCAUGCCGCGUGUGUGAAGAAGGCCUUCGGGUUGUAAAGCACUUUCAGUGGGGAAGAAAGCCUUGGGGCUAAUACCCUCGAGGAAGGACAUCACCCACAGAAGAAGCACCGGCUAACUCCGGGCCAGCAGCCGCGGUAAUACGGAGGGUGCGAGCGUUAAUCGGAAUUACUGGGCGUAAAGCGCGCGUAGGCGGUCUGAUAAGCCGGUUGUGAAAGCCCCGGGCUCAACCUGGGAACGGCAUCCGGAACUGUCAGGCUAGAGUGCAGGAGAGGAAGGUAGAAUUCCCGGUGUAGCGGUGAAAUGCGUAGAGAUCGGGAGGAAUACCAGUGGCGAAGGCGGCCUUCUGGACUGACACUGACGCUGAGGUGCGAAAGCGUGGGUAGCAAACAGGAUUAGAUACCCUAGUAGUC
rnacentral:rRNA from 1 species